CCGGGGCCGGCCGCGGCCCCGCGGCCUCGGCCGCGCUCAGGAGUGCACAAAGGGAAUGGCUUCCAAGUCAUUUGACAAAACCGGAACGUGCGAGUGAUCUACAGUGCAAAGCUCACUGAAGGGAAUGUGGAUUGAUCAGAAAUAAUGCUCUCCAGGUCUGUUUUUCCCCAUCUUCAUAGCAAGAAUAAGACUUUCCCAACAGUGUGAGCAUGGAUGGUCAAGCUCAUGGUCAGCUGAAAUAUUUGGGUGCCUCAGAGAGAAAGUGAUGGUGAUGUGUGCUGUGUUUCCAUUUUCAUGAUCUACUCACUACUUCUAACAUAGGAGUGGAAAAUUUUCACUGCAAGAUUAUUUCUGAACUCGAUCAACUAAGGGGUUAAGGAUUCCAGAUCUUCUCCUGACAUUCAAGAAGAAGGUGGUCCUGUCGCUUGCUUACAAGCUGUGAGAUGUGGGUGUUUCUCUUCUAGCAAGCAAAAACCUGUCCUUCACUUCCAUGGAGCUGAACAAACAAAGAUCUCUCUACUUCCGGUUUCAAUCAUCUCGCCCAACAUUUGAUUCACCAGAUGACUUCUCCCACAGAAGUACCCCACCGUUUUAUCAAAACUCAAAAGCAGAGUAACAGAAAUCAGCAUUUGUUUCCCUGAAGAAAUGUCUUCUGUGCCAGCUCUUCAUCCAGCUUUCUGCGUUCUGUUUUAAAAUGAGAAAUACUUUGUAAUCAGAUGCAAGUGGAAGCUGGUGUUCUUCACUGAAACCUCCUUCUUCAAUUUAGGAAGGUUAAGUACUUCACUGUGUCAUAUUGGAAUUCCUAGCAGAUAAAGUGUCUGCAGGCAUUGCUAUGUCAAACUGUCUUGACAUGUAUGAAAAGUUGCAGCAGGAAAACCAGAACAUAUUUUCUGCUCUGACCUAAGGAAGAAACUUACCGAACAACCGGGGACAUCCCAUAUAGGUAUUUUCUAGUCCAGGACCCAGGCUUGACUUUGUAGAUAGAUAUCUUGAUGUCAACUCACAUAAAGCAGCUAAUGCACAGGAACAAAUGCAGAAUCACCUUGUCUAUAGUGUGUAAAUGCAUCAUCCCAGCCUGUGAUCAAAAUGUAUAUUUGCAUGUGUAAACCUAUGUAAGUGCUGGAUAUGAAGAGUUUUCACCAGAAAGAGAAAUUACUCUGCACCAUUUCAUUUCUAGCAAAGAAAAAUGAAGCUUUAAAGGCCUCUGGGGUAACAGGAUAAUGAUUAGGUUUACGUUAAAUCAUUCCCUCCCUCUUGCUUUUUAUGAAUCCUUAGUAGCAAAAGGAACAAAAACAUUAUACAGUAGAAGAGAUGGGGCAGAACUUCUUUCUUUAUUAAAGAAAUCAACUUCUGGUGGGAUGGAAGAGACCAGAGGUGUAAAGUUGCAGUUUAUCCACUCAGCUUCCUUGGCACAGUUUCAGCUUUUCAUACCGCUGAUGGAAUCAGCUUUUUGAUUCUUCUGUGACUGAGAACUGAGAUGACCUGUAUAUUUCUGCCAUCUAGGUAGAAAUAGGCCUAAGAGAAUGGACUGUUAGCCACGUAAGGGGUGAGUUGAGAGAGAGCGGAAAUACUUAGGAUGGGCCUUUUUCUGGUUCCUCUUAUUCCUUCCCAAACUAAGGCGUAAUCUGUUGUUCUUAUGUUUACACAAGUUCCUUUGUCUCCAUCAUUUGUGAUUAUAUAGGAUGUUUUCUGUCAUUCUGAGGUGGGAGCGUAUAUUGUUUACAUUCUCCCUGCUAUGCUAUUCUAUAUGGCAAGUAAGAUUUCUUGGCAAAAAACCCAGAACUGGGAUAUGUAUUCUAUUCCACUUCAAAUCUGGAGCUCUUCUUAGUGCACCUUAUUCCAAGCUUAUGAUUUAGAAAAUGUGACUUACUAGCUUAAAAUAAUAUUUUCAAAUCUGGAUCAAGUAAAGGUAUAUAGGUUCUGUUAAUAGGUUUUGGGAGAUAGUAGGAUUGUUGGGGGGUUGUUUUAGAUUUCUUGGUUGGUUCUGUUUUUCCUUUUAUAUAACUGGUGGAGAGAGCCAGACAGCCUGAAAAUGGCUGAAAAGCCAACAAUUGAAAUCCUUCUUAAAUUUUAAUGAUAGAUUGCAAGGGCAGCAUUCUGAUAUUUAAAAUAUGGUGACAUUUUAUGGGACCAAGUUCCAUAGCAGAGUAAGGACAAGUGUUGGCGUUGAUCCUAGUCUUCAGAGUAGAGUUAAGUCUGUGUUUAGACUUGCAUUGUAACAAUAAGAUUUAAUGACAGCUUUACCCAUUUUUUGUUUCCAUGAAGAAAAGAUCAGACACGUAAGCUGAAGUGUGGUGGGCAAGACACUGCGUAUCAAAAUGAUGCCAACUGUAAUGAGCAGAGAGGUGCACUAAAAUUGUGUGUAACAUUGUGAUGACCUGUGUGAUAAGAGUUACAUUGAUCUUGAUGAGGCAACCACCAGCUCGGUCUGAGUUCUUUUAAGAAUAUAGGUUUUCUUUGCUGAAUAUGGUCUGAAUUUUCUGGCAUUGGAGGCAACUAGAAAAGCACACUUCCUUUUAGGGCCUCAUGUUGAAACUAAUCGUAUUUAAUGUAGAUGUCUGUAGACGCAGGAUCCAUCUCUAAGUGAUGGAAAAUACUGUCAGUAUCAUAGGAUUAUAAGUGGUUGGGAGGUAUCUGGUAUAAGAAACAUCUGAUUUUAGAUCUGGGAAUUUCCUUUUCUUCCUUCUACCCAUACUUAUCCUUCUGACGUUAGAACUAGCAGGUGUUUCUUGCAUAGCUUGAUGACAAAAUACUUGGGGCGAUGGGAAGGUAUUUUUUGUUUCUGUGGACAUGUACAAAAAAUAAGAAUUUGUCUGACUAGAGAGUAGACACUUCAAGAUCUUUGAUUUCUUUUUCCAUAGGAAUAACCCUCAGCAUCUUGUAACCCUGCAUUAUAACAAAAAAAAUAGAAUUGCUGAUUUUUCCUGACUCCUGUCCAUGACAAUGGAACAACAUUAGUUUUCAAGUUUAAUUUUAGAACAUAGUAUUUUUAGCAGGGCUAAAGAUCUGUGGCUUUCACAGAAGUAAUACUCCAAUAGUGCAUGCCCAGAAGACCCCCCAUUCCUGUACCUUUCCGGCCAGCACCUUUAUAAAACUGCUGUGUUAGGAAAUGCUGCCUCAGCCUACUUACUUUUUCUUGCUCCACUUUUUCUCUAUGUUGGUUGGAAAUCUUCCUAUGUGAAAGAUUACAAAAACAAGGGGCAUGUGCAAUAGAUCAUAUAUAUAUACAUAUAUAUAUUUUAAUACUUGUGGACAAAAUGAUGUUACAAGUUGUUUGAAAACAACAAAAUCACCAAUGUCUUCCAUUUUGAGAUGUGUAUAGUUCCAUAAGCAUUAGUGCUUUGUAGCAAACUGUAGUGCCAUGUUAGGACAGUGCAUGAGCCUAGUAGUAUUUUUACAAUUUCAGAGUGACAAACUUAUUAAUAAACAGUUAUGAUAAUGUAAUUAACAAUAGAAAGGAUACAAUAGAAAUGUCACAAACAUGGUCUAAACAUGCAGUAUCCUCCCUUUGACAAUGGCAACGCUAUUUUUAGAAAUGGAAUGCGUUCACUUAACGGGCGUCAUAGAAUCAUAGUUGACUUUUUGGUUUUAGUCUAUCUGUCCAACUGCAAAGUAAGCUACUGUACGUAAGCGUCCAGAAUUCUCAUCUCUAUUGGUGGGAUUCUUUUCUCUUUAGUCUUUGUUGAACGUGUUUUCUUCCAUGUGCAGCAUUUUCAAUUUUAUUAUUACCCAUCCUGUGAUAUACUCAGAAAAGUAUGAAUACGCUAAGGAGUUUGUGUGCAUUUUGUACACAUCUCUGCCACCUUAAGAUCAUUUACAAAAUCUUUUAAGUAAUUUUUUUUUCAGAUCUGCCUAUAUAAUUGUUAUAACUAGUUAAACAUUAUCCUCAUUAUACAAUAAGUUAAUGGUUGCAAAAUGCUAUCUGCCAGUUACGCGUAGAAGACUUUUAUCCAUUAUUGCAGGAAUGGGGAACCUUUUUUGGCUGAAGUCCUACUGAGUCCUUUAACACCUUUGGUGGAUCCUGCAUUUACAUACAUCUUAAUAAUAAGAGAGAAUAUAAUGUCAAGGGCUGUUGGAAAAACAACGUUGCAGACUGUAUCUGUGCAGCAGGCUGUCUCUAGCCUAUGGAUCAGAGAUUCCCCACCCCUGUAUUAUUGAAAUUAACAUCCCGUAUUUUAGGUAACUUGCAGUAUUGCUUUCCAGCUCUAAGCUCAAUUUUAAUAAUUUCUGUCUCCCUCUGCUUUUUUCAGAAGGAAAGUUUAGACCAGGGGAAGUUCAAAUGAUUUAGCACUCAAUGGGCAGCUUGGACUGGUCAAAUAAGAGACUGAUACGAUUCCUGAGAUGUGCAAUGCUCUGUAGAUGGCAUCCUCUGAUUUCCUAGGAAAAAGUCUUUUAUUUGGUGCCAGUGUUGCUCUUCACCCAUUUAUCUCUUUUACAAGAACAAAAUUAUCUUUCAACUUAGAGAGGAUACUGCAUCUUUUUUUCCUGAGACCUGCCUGUAAAUGGCCAUUAGGGGGAGGGAGGGAAUGGGUAGCUUGGUUUUGUAAUUUUGAUAUGAUAUAUCUCUAAAGUAAUUAAUCAAGAAGCAUGUACUUUGGUGCAAAACCAGUAAUCCGUGCAGAGUUAAUGUAUGUAACAGGGAAAAAAAGAAAAAAACCCCAAACAACCAACCCUCUGCAUCUAAUAGAUUUCCAAGAAAAUUGGACAGGUGGGCCAUUUACAGCAGAGAUCUGGGGGACCUGUGCUGAGAGUUAGGUUCAAUUCUAAAUGGAAGUAGCUGUACCAUUGAAUAAAGUAGUUUAGUGCUUGGGAGAAUCAAUUGAAAAAUACCUCUGAAACUGGAAUGCAAAAUAGCACAGUAUGUAGGGGGAAGAAUCCCUGAUGCAAACAAAGCCAUAAGAUGAUUUAAUAAGAAAAUAGAACUUUAGUAGCAAUAACUGUUUUGCAUGUGAUAGUAAAUAACUUGCAUUAGCAAGACUGUACAGUAGAGUAAGUGGGUAAUAACCAAAUACGUUUGUGGCGCUCUGUGCUGCAGGGAGUUGUGUGAAGAGUCUCUUCCUGAGAAGAUGGGUGAAUUCCUCUUAUGUUCCUCUCAUUGGAGGGAAUUUGGCACUUGAAUACUUAGUUAAUGAACCUGAUAGGAAAAAAAAAAAAAAAUUAGCUUUGUCACUUGCCUGAAGCACUGUCAAUGAGUGCUGGGGGAAGGGCAGACAGUUCUUUUUGAAAGGAUAGCUGAAGUUUCCCCAUAUUUUUUUUCAGUUUUGUAGUCUAGCACUUGCUGUGUUUCUCUGAGAAGAAACUAAACCCUUCCAAGUACUACACUGUGAAGAGAACCUGAUUCUGAAGUUAGAAGCUUUUAUUGUGGGAAGUACUUUUUGUUUUCUUUGUUUAAAAAGACCAAUCUGAGAUGGUCUUUAAAUAAAAAAUUAGAGACCACUUGACACUCAAAACAUUUGUAUGUCCCAAGCACAAUUGUUGAACUCUAAAAAUGUUACUUUACAGUGAAAAAUAAUUUUAGUCUUGCUAAACACUCUGUUUCAGACCAUCAUUGAUUUCUGUUGAUGCCUGAAGUUUUGCAGAGGCAAGUACUGUGAAGCUUCUGGUAACUCAAAGGGUUAUUGAUCUACAGCUCUGCACCCAGCAAAGUAUUUGCUAUCAAAGAGUUACAUAAAAUAGCUGCAGGAGUUCUAAAAUGUCCAUAGUUGGCACUGUUUUCAGUGCAGAUAUGUAGUCUAUAGAGACAAUAAGGCCCAACAGAUAAUACCGUAUUCUGAACAGAAUUACUACAUCAGAGGUUUAGAUCUAUCUGGCUGGAUUUCUUCUAGAAAGCUGAAGUAAUUUGGAUUGUAACUUACAGCUGAAGGGAAGCUUCUAAUGUUCCAAAAUUACGGAGGUGAAGAAGCCCUUUGGCUCUUCCAAGUUGAUAAAGGGACUGUGAGGGCAGUGAGCAUUUUUACAGUAUAAAGUAACCAAAGUAAGCAUGAAGAUGUCUAAAUUAAGUGUUGGCAAAUAUGUAAUAUGUGUAUGAAAAGCUAAUUGAUCUGCAAAGUUGUAAUCAGCUUAAAUUCCAGCUAUUGAAUUAUUGAUAAAAUUGGAAGCUGGCCAUAGGGGACCUUAAUUUGAUUGUUAUCUGAUUACAUUAGAGAAACUAUAAAUUUAUUCUGGUCUGUGGUCAGCAAGUACAUUUAUGUAAUAAUGAAAACACGGUCAUGUUCAUAUUUCAGAAAUAUGAACUUUGUGGCUGAAUAGAAUUC